GCUGGGCGUGGUGGCGGGCGCCUGUAAUCCCAGCUACUCAGGAGGCUGAGGUAGGAGAAUUGCUUGACCCCGGGAGGCGGAGGUUGCAGUGAGCUGAGAUCACACCACUGCACUUCAGCCUGGGUGACAGAGCAAGACUCUGUCUCAA
rnacentral:SRP_RNA from 1 species